UCCCUCAUAGCUCAGUUGGUAAAUCAUCUGCCUGAAAUGCAGGAGGCCCAGGUUCGAUUCCUGGGUCAGGGAG